rnacentral:lncRNA from 1 species
CAUAAUACUUAAGUGUAUGAUAUCAUUAUGAAUUGUUCAGCUCUUCAGUCUUAAACCUUUAUAAUUCCUUCAUUUAUAUUUUGAUAUGAACUCAAUAAUAUGUGACAUAAAUUACAUCUAUUAUGUUUCAAAUCUGCUACCGGUGUAAUUCAAUUUUGCUGCAAGUCUUUUUUGCAUUUGAGUUACUCACAUCUAUUGUCUCACACAACUGUUGUGUUGCCACUUGCCAAUCUCUGCUACCUGUAUAAUUCAAUUUUACUUAUGAGGAUUAAAUGAUGUAGGAGGAUUUGGGAACAGACUACCUUGUGCGCCCUUUAGGCAACGCUGAAGAGGAGGAAGCAUCUAGUGAUUUUGAACCGGAAGAAAAUGGUGAGGAAGAUGAAGGUGCUGAUGAAGAUGAUG